UCCUCGAACAUUCUCUUAUAAGUUGUAGUCUUCCGUUUCCGGCGAGACAAUCUAGGGGCGAGAAGGGCGUUAUCGUGAUGAUCGUGUCGUGAAAUCGCCGACACAGCAACAAGGCUGGACGAUCAAAUGCUCGACUAUUGGCUCACGGCGCGUGAAAACCAUUCCCAAUGACAUUCCCAUCGUUCACGCCUUCUUUAUUUGGCGACCAAUAACCUCCUUGCAAAGAAGAUUUUCAGGCAUGGAGAGAAGAAAUGCAGGAUGCAGCCAAGAGUCAUUUUACUAAAGGCACAGGGAGAAGAACGUCAAAGGAAAAAGGUCCAUAAAAUCAUAAGGUUCCGUCAGGCAUGGGGCCGUCCUGCAUUGAUGAUUCGUCUGCAUUGUUCCAGACUGGCAAGGUUCCAGGACACAACGGGACAUUCCUAAGGGGCCCCCUACCAUCUCGCUCAUGAUCAGAGCUGACAAUUAAGGCAUAAUGGUUUCAAAUUUCCAAAGAUUCUCUAAGAAGUGGCAUGCAUUUCAGAAUUUGUAUGAGUACAACACAACAGCGUGUACAGCCCGAGACAAAAGUUCACGGCUCUACGCCUUUCUUCAUCGGAGCGGCCCCCUGCAAGCUACCAGCAAAAGAUCGAAUAAGAAACGGGUCUAUCUCUCAAUAUGUGCGUCCGCUCUUGUUUGAUGCUAGGGUGUCACUCCAAUGGAGAAAUGUGACACCAUGGUGGUCCGUAAAGAUUUGUACCAACCUGCACAUCGUACAACCCCGACAACUAACAAACACUGCUCGGUAAGGUCAGUGUUCCAAUUUGAGAUUUUGCUGCCUAUUUCUUCCCAAAAGGCUGCUCUUGCUUGUGAACUCCGGUGUACCAAGACAAGUUCAGAACAAAGAAUUUAUAGUUAGACUUUGAAGGCAGUAGUCAACAUAAAUAAGUUUUACCUCUGAGAUGAUUGCCCAUUCAAGGCAACAACAAACUCGUAGGUUCACCACACCAUCUAAACUUCCUCGGCCUGUUACAGCUUGUUUCUGUCCACAAGGAGUGGUGACAUGAACUAUCAUUCAUCGAGCAUUUGUCAGGAGGUUGUUAGAGGAAUCAGUCAGACAGAUGUGCUUCAGAUGUUUUUUUCUUUUUUUCAGUUUUCAGGUUUUUAUUGUUAUUCCAUGACAGUAUACACUGAUACUGAUAGUGGGCAAGCCCUGUUGAACAGUCCAAGACACAGUCAGUGCAAAUGUCUACACAAUUUGAGGGGAACAGAAGUACCAAGAACACAUGACAAGUAUUAGAAACAAAUAGCAAAUGAACAAAGAGAAAUGCAAAUCAUCAAAAAGUAAUUGCAUGUCACCCUACGUAUCAGCAGAAAAGUCCUGUUUGAUGGUGUUUUUGAAGGAUGCCAGAUUAUUGUUGGGACGAAUGCGUACACCAGUGUUUCUCAAACUGUGGGUCAUGAGCUGUUGAAAGAUUCAUUGUUUCAUGCCCAACCAGAGGGUAAAGCUCAAUUCAUGUUCAAAGCAUUAAUGGACUGUCAUGUGUUGUCAAAUGACAGUGUUGCAUUCAUGAGUAAAUGAUGUAGAUGUGAAGGUCCUUAAACAUGAAUUCAACAGAAAUCUUCUGGCUGGGUGUAUUUCCUGCUGCUUGGCACACUCUUGGAAUCUGGUUGAAAACUGCCCUGCUACUAUGGCUUUCUUCACACCAUCUGUGCAUCAAUAUUCGAACAGAUUGGGACAAAAGUUUAUGGAGGACCAGGGUGUUGCAUUUCUUCAUGGGAGUGACACUCUAGCAGCAAACAGGAGUGGCCACACACAUUGAGAGGUGGACAGAACAGCCAGUCACCUGUUUCUUAUUCGAUAUCUUCCUGCUAGCCAGCAGGGGGCCGCUCCGAUGAGGUGCAAGGCAACAGGCUCAUUGAUAUAGUGUCCAGCUGGAAUUUGUGGUAUUUUGGAACGAUGUAUUGCUAACGAGACCAGUAAAAAUAUCCAAAACUGGACCUGGA